UACCUCGUAGCGCAGUGGUAGCGCACUCGGUUCGCCACCGAGAGACCCCGGGUUCAAAUCCCGGGCGAGGAGAAA